CCACAGGAAGGUCGACGGCAGAACCACACGAGCCUAACAACCAGGCGACUUAGGGUAGUCCUCAGGGAAAUCGCAAUUGUACUCCUGAUCGUCCGAGCAACCUUUAAUGAUUAUAGCAAGGGUGAGCUCAUGUCGAACACAGCAAGCACAAACGGAAAGUAAUGACAUGCAAGGGUUAAACAAGGUAAAGCUGACUUGGUUUGACUGCGAUAGCAUUUUAGUUGAUCACUUUUAAUUAUGACUAUGAUUAGAACAACCUACUACUAAUUAUGAGUAGCAUAAACCCAACCCUUAAUUAGUGUAAGUAGUAGUUAGCAUCUUUUAAAAGACUAUCGUAAUAAUUAUAGUAUUCCAGAGAUUAACCCUAAUUAUUAACACAGGAUAGCAAUCCUGCCAACACAGAAUAGCAAUUCUGCCAAAACACGAGGUAGCAACCUCGCCAAGUUCCAUCUCCAAAGUACCCGGUGAAUCCAAUUUGCUCAUCAUGUGAGAGUCUGGGCCGCUCGUGACCGUGAGCACAACUGAUAUAUCAGUUUGACACUCUGCAGAGGUGUGCACGUUCACUCCAAGUAGUGAUUCCCAUUUGCCUGGGGUCAUGACUCCCCAAAACACUGCCAAGGUGAGCAGGCAGGGUAUCACUAUGAGACCUUUCACAGGGUCCAACUAAUAGGAUGCCACUCGCAAGUUUUUGCCGGGGCGCUUGGCAGUCGAUACCCAUAGCCAUGGCGUACCGAGCAACCGACAUCUUAAUAUACAUUACCAAAGUUACUUCCUCACGCCUACCCAGAAAGUAACACCCUAUUAGCGGAGGUCCUGCUAAUUAGUCAAGCCAGAGCCAUAUAGCUUGGAGCUGCACUGUAAGUCCCAGGAGGGCGCUCCAUGACUAAGUCCUUACGGAGAGCAGAGACGGGUACGCCCGGCAACCGGACCACCAAGAGUACCCGCUCCCCCUAUCACCACCAUCAUCACGAUGCUCGUAAGCAUCCAACAUCGCUAUCAUCGCAGUGACCAAAGGUUCAACACAGUUUAAGCAUUAAGUUAAGUAUAGAGUAUUACUUAUUUAGGCAUGUGAAUAAGAUGAGUAAAGCAGCUAAGCAUACCUAGUAUAACCUAGACUACCCAUAUACAUAAUCCAUGGUGAACAAGGAAUAAUAAGUAAAGCUAGUCAGGUCCUUAGGGUUUGCAUUCAUUAGACACAUGCAUGGAAAAAAUAAAUGACAUUAAAGAGUAUGUUCAAAAUAAUCAAAUGGUGUCUGCACUUGCCUUGAUCAUAGUCAGGUUGCUCGAACUCAGCGGGAUCCUGAUCCUCUUCCUUCACAAGCGUCUCGUUGGCUAUACGCGACAAUCAUCACACAAUCGAAGCAAUACAUGCAAGCAAAAAAGCUUAAUCAGAAACAGUACACCAAAGCAUUCGAAAACAGAAAGCAACUGCGCUACUGUAUUCUACUCGACGAGACAAAACUAUAGCGACUAGAAUCACCUAAAUCGGAGUUAUAACGCAAAAGUUAUGGCUAAAACAAGUUGGAUGGCAAUUCUGUGAAUUAAAAGAACUAUUUUUCGUAAUUAAAACUAAUUAAAACAGAAAUAGAAAAAAUUGGAUUAAAACUAUAAAUUCUAAUGGAGCUCGGGGUUAAACUACAAAACUAAGGUCAUAAAUUUAAUAGAUUAAAACUACGUAGGACCGUAGGUUGAUUUUAAACAAAGGUAGGGGCCUUUUUGCAAAAAGGCCAGGGGGCGGCGCGGGUCGUGGUCGGUCCGGCCACGUGGCGGCAGGCGGCUGGCUGGUCCACGGCGGUGCUGUCCACGGUGGACCGCGGUUCACGGUGGACCGCGACUGCGGGGGGAGGCGAGCGCACGCGGUGGUGGUGGGGGGGGGGGGCUUGGCCGCGGCGGCAGGUGGAGCGCGGCGGCGCCAUGGCCGGCCGCGGCAAGCUCACGGCGGCGGCGCUGCGGGGCACGGAAAAACGCGCUGGAGGCACGGGCGAGGUCGCCAUGAUGAGGCGAGUCCAGGGCGCGGCUCACCUUGGCGGAUGGAUGGGUGGACGAGCUCGACGACGAAGCUCGCGGCGGCGAGGUUGACGGCUGUUGCGGCGCGAGAACUCGGUGAGUUGGCGGCUAGGGUUAGGGCUUUGGGUGGCUCGGGGUGUGUAGGGGCACGCGAGGGCGAGUGGCGGCGCUAUUUAUAGGCGCUGGUGAUCUUUGGGAGGCGCGCGUGGGCACGGAAGCCGGGGCGGCGGCGGACUCCCGGUCCGUUUCGGACCGGAGGUUAGGGGCGGCCCUAACAUGUGGGGCCCACUAUUAGCGGGUGGCAGUGGGAGCAGGGGCGCGCGUGCGCUGCUAGGCUGCUACCGCGGCCUGGGCCGCGCGAGGGGAGAGGGGAGGGGGAGAGCUGGGCCGGCCUAGGAGAGGGGGCGCUGCCCUUGUUUCCUUUUUGCUUUUUUUUAAACAGAUUCUCCUAUUUUUCUUUCUUGAUUCAAAACUAGAACAAGCACAACCAUAAAGAUAAAGUCAAACAAAAAUUAUGCAGCAGCAUGAAUGCACAUAAACAUGUUUUCUACCUUAUAUUUUAUUUUACUUAUUUUUUUAAAUUAUUAAAUAAUUGCAUAAAAUUCAAACUAAGCCAAAAUUAAAUCAAAUUCAAGCUAAAUUUGAAAUUCAAACUUUGGAGUGUUAUAAACGCCUUCCAUGAUCAUUUACUUUAAGGAUAUUCUUGUACCAAAACAACAAAAGUUAUGUGGUUGAAUCAGACGUAGCUUGUUGAGUAACACAUAGAAGGUACCCAAGGCAUGUAAGAAUUAGAUAACCACUACUGAAGAAUGAUGAUAGUGGGGCCUACAGGUCACCAACUGAUAGGGUACCGAUAUGAAUCGGUGCUAGGGUGGCCCGAUCUUCACGACAGUAGAUCAAAAGAACAAGGAUAACUUGCUGCGAACAGCGGGUAACUAGCUUUAUACCUCACAAAGGUUGGAUGCGACCAAGCGACGGGGAGAGAGGCACCGAAACCGCGAAGACUUCGACUCGAUCUCCGAACGACCGCAGAACCACAAUCCAGAACUAAUCCACACAAUACGGCGCAGCCGAACGGAAGCCGUAGAGCACGAAGUAGGGGAACCCAGAGGAUUCACUUCACAAGUCCAUGAAGAACAAGGAAGAACAAAGGUUGAGUAAGGCACUCGCAGCGCGGCUACAAUAUCAUAUAGUUUAUCAAAUGAUCAAAGGUUGCUAAUAGCUUAGAGGUAGGGGAUAUUUAUACUAGGAACAAUCCUCCUAGAUAGGUAUGAAAACGAAAUAGAGUUUCUUGGUGAAGGCAAUGUGAAAAGACCCCUCGGAAUGGAUUCCCGAACUGGCUUCGCGUGACUGUUGGCCUCCAGAGCAGUUUCUAAUAAACUAACCAUAACUUUUUAUUGGGAAGUCCAAAUGAUGAACUGUUUCUUGGGUGUGAAACUAGACUCGAAGCGCUUUCCAGCAAUGUAUGCCAUGUACCAUGAAACGUUGUAGAUUGGUACAGUUUUGUAUGGACAUUUGUACCAACAUUCUGUCACGGUAGACUGUUGACCUUCUGAGCAGUCUAUACUAAUUCUAGUCUGCAGGCAAUAUGGAGUAUCAAAACUGGUCGCCACUAGAUUCAUUGGAAAGUAGACUCGACAAGUUUUCCAACAAGUCCUAAUGGGCCUUCAUAGCUUUUGUGAUUAUAAAGUUAUGAAGAUUUCUUUGCACUGGUCCGUUUUUGACUUCCACUAGUCCGUAAUUGACUUCCACUGGUCCGUUUUUGACGUGUCUUCUAGGACUUGCACUGGUUCGUUCUUCAGGGUCCGAUUCAUCCUUCUCUUCUUCUAUAUACCUGGGUACAAUCUAGGUAGAACACUUAGGUAGUAUAUAAUUCCCAUUAAUGUUAAAAUGAAUCUCACAACGUUGCGCGUGGACCUCUUGUUGUAGCUUCUGUGUACGACUACCUGUAACCGGUCCACCGAUGACUUAGGCUGGUGUCGGUGUAGGUAAAACUUGAGUGGUUGUAGCUUGAGACAUCUUGCUUGCUGGCAUGGUCAUAUCAUCCUCCCCCUCUUGAAAAGGAGUCGUCCUCGACUCUAACUCUUCUGAUCCAAAGAGUUGUGCUAGGCCAUCGGUUUGUAAUGUUGUGAUAACAUCGCAAUCUUCUUGUUCCAUGAUAACAAGGUGUUUGAAUCUAUAAUCAUAUAAACCAAGUAGUAUCCUUGAACGUGGAAACCUAAAUGAUUUGGAAUUAUGUUUAGCUUUCACCUUGAGUGGAUGCUUGAAUGUUGAUUGCCCUGGUAUGGUCUCAUCAUCCUCUCUCUCUUCAAGAAAAGUCGUCCACGACUUUUGUUUACCUGAAAACAGCUUAGACAAAAUAGAGGGUGGACGUACUUGAUAAUUCCAAUAAUGAUUCCUUUUGUUCUGUUCAUUUGUGCCAUUAUGAAUUAUUUUUGCAUUAUUUCCUUUUCCAUGUAAGAAACAUUCUCUCAACUUUGGUGAACCUACAAACAGUUUAGAGGAUGGUAGCACAAAAAUUUCUUCCACUCUAAUCAUUUGAUUCAUGUUGUCAUGUUUUAUCUUUAGAAGAUCAAACGUUUCAUAAAAUGGAUGUUGAGAACUAAUGUUAUUCCAAAAAUUAUUGUGGCAACAAAAUUCAUUCAAGGGUUUAGAAGUAUAAUUUUUAAACUCAAUGCUCCAAGGUGUGGAUGAACAACUUUUCAGUGUAUAGGCUUUGCUUUGCACAAGAUUUCUAUCUUUAAGUGGAUGGUACGAACAUGCUGACAACAUGAAUUGAUCAAAACCAUAAGCACCAAGUAUUUGUUGCAUCUUAAAAGAUUUCUCACUUUGUUUAUCUGUCAACAUUUUUGAGUCUAAAUCAGCAAGCUUGUUAUAUGUUACACAAAUUGCAUGAACCUGGAAGGUAUCUACAACAUGUUCUCCAAUCAAGACAAAUGUAAACUGGAAGCUAUGAGUAGUAUUCAAUGGACUCAAAGAUGUUAUGUUAGAAAUUUUCUCAAGCAUUUGUUCAAUAUUGAUAGGCAUGUUAAGCAUAGUAUAACACAAACAUUCAAGAGGAGAUAUCCUUGUAAACAAAUCAGCACAAGUAACCGACUGGAUGAGGUGUUUGUUGUUAUAUGAAGUGUUGCAAGGAUCAUUCAAAGCACAAAGACUCUCAUCAAAAAGAAACCCAGCACUUGCAUCAACAUGAGUUCCGGCCAAAUCAGCACAAAUGUUUUGGUUAUGUUUUAUUGCUGAAAUAGUGAUAUCACAAGUACUCAGUAUGUGUUGAACAUUCAGAUUUGAUUUAUUUUUCAUGUAUUUUAAAUCCAAUGAUUCUACAUGUACCAAGGUUUGAAUCUCGGAAUUUUUAACUUCAUUGUUGAUCUUAGAUGGUUUUGAUGAAUUAACGAAAGGGUUGAGAAAUGUGCAGCCAUCUCUAAGAUGUAUGAGCAUUGAAACAUAAUGCAUUGUAUCACACAUGUGAAUGCAAAUCAUCAUGUACAUGAACCAUAUCAAACCAUAGAAAAGAUCAUGUAUGAUUGAACUUUGGUUAUCAACUUGCAAAAUUCCAGCACACGGGUGAACAUGUGAAAUAGUCAAAUCAGUGCAAAUAUUUCGUGUAUAGUUAAUCCCAUUUAAACCAUGUGUAUUAUCAUAAUUACAUGCCAUUUUAUUUUGCAAACACAAAUCUGAUUUAUUUUCAAUAACUUUUAGACUUUUUGGUGAUGCAAGUACCAAGGAUUGCAACUCUGAAAUCUUACCGUUAUCCAUGUCAUGGCUCAGGUUUUGGGCAACACACAAUGGGUUUAGUUGAAUAGCUACAUUCUCAUUUCUCUCAACAAGUAUGGUGUUGUCUUGAGCAUCCGUCUCUUCUCUAUUCUCAUCACCAACCUGCACAUUUGGAAAGACAAAACUAGAAGUAGAGAUGAGAGUGUUAGUUUCAGAGAUAUCCUCACUUGGCCUGCAUUCUAAAUAUCUAUUUUUCUGUGGUGUAUCUCUCACACUCUCAUUGUUGACACUCUCAACCUUACAGUGGGUGGAAUCACUCAACUCACUUUUGUUUUCACUCUCUCUCAUUUUGGCAAUGUGGCUCUCAUUCUCACAUAGGUUUUGAUGCACAAUUACUUCAAUGUCUUGUGAAGCCACAUAUGCAUGUGUAUCGUUGUCAUUGACAAUCACUUGUUCUUCCUCAUCGAAGAUUGGGGGCUGAUCAUAAUUCACAACAUCAUUUUCUUCAUGAACCUGCAUCGCAAAAGGAACAAGAAUAGAAGGUAUUAUGAUGUUAGAAGUAAAUAAUUCCUCACAUGAUUCAUCUUUUUUUCUCUCAAUUUUUGUGGAUCACUCUCACAUAGACUUUUGUGGCUCUCCUCAAAUAUUGUGGAAUCUCUCAUCUUCUCACUGAAUUUUGGUUGGUGCCACUCUUUCUCACGUAUGGUGGAAUGUCUCAUCUUUUCCUUUUGAUUUCUCUCACUCAAUUUUGGUUGGUGGCACUCUUGCUGAAUUUUUCUUUUGGGGGACACGCAGUAAUCUUCAUCAUCAAUGAGCACACAGGGGCGAAUGCUAUGCCCAUGAGCACCUCCUCCAUGUUGUCCACUAUGGCCAAAGAGACCGCGGCGAGAGUUGGCUGAGCUAUGUUGUUUAGUCCGACCGCGCACCACAGGAAGACGUUCAUCAAACAUCUUCUCCAUGGCCUCCACUAGUGAGUUCUGUAGUUGGCAUAACUCAGCCCGCGAAACUGGUGUUUUUUUUCUCCAUAUCGACCACUACGAACGCUCGAAUUGGAUCCUGGCAUGUUAGCACUUAUGCAAGAUAUAGUAGAAUGGGUAAUUUUGUGGAAUCACACAACCUCACCUCUUACUUACCAAAGCUCUUUUCUGUUCUCAAGGACAGUGAAUUGUGCUAGUGUAGCAGCUCAACAGAAGUGAUUCCAAGGUCGCAAGGAUUACGAGUCGAAUGUCCUGGUUUCAGUUUUAGGUGGAGCUAUAGGUGGCUAAACAAGGGAGUCUACGGUAUUGAAAAUCAAGUGAUUUGAUGUGCUCAGAAGAUAUAAUGUUGCUGGUAUAUAAAUCCCCAAGAAUCUGAAUAUGUAAAUUGAACUUUUCAGUAAUCAAACCGCAAUACAACCCCUCUCCUCUUCUUUUACUUUUCUUUCGGAUCUUUCUCUUUUCUUUUCUCUGUUUUUUUUUUCACUGACUUUUUUUUUCAAUCUUUUUUUUAUACUAACAGGGGUGCGGAUAACAGAUGAAACACAACACAAUAUAUGUAAAGAGGGUGAGUAGCAACUUGAUGAACACAAAAACACAAGAUAACAGUACCGUCAAAGGGCUUUAGGAUUUUUUUGUGGCUUUUUCAGUGGACUAUAGGUGAUGAACAAAAUAAUAACAAAUGAUAGAUAAACUAAAGGUAGAUAUGUGGAUGAUUGUGAGAUCUACCGUGACAACGAAAGCUUUGAUACCAGUUGAUAGGGUACCGAUAUGAAUCGGUGCUAGGGUGGCCCGAUCUUCACGACAGUAGAUCAAAAGAACAAGGAUAACUUGCUGCGAACAGCGGGUAACUAGCUUUAUACCUGACAAAGGUUGGAUGCGACCAAGCGACGGAGAGAGAGGCACCGAAACCGCGAAGACUUCGACUCGAUCUCCGAACGACCGCAGAACCACAAUCUGGAACUAAUCCACACAAUACGGC
rnacentral:lncRNA from 1 species